rnacentral:rRNA from 1 species
CCUACGGGUGGCAGCAGUGAGGAAUAUUGGUCAAUGGACGAGAGUCUGAACCAGCCAAGUAGCGUGAAGGAUGACUGCCCUAUGGGUUGUAAACUUCUUUUAUAAAGGAAUAAAACGCGACACGUGUGCCUUUUUGCAAGUACUUUAUGAAUAAGGAUCGGCUAACUCCGUGCCAGCAGCCGCGGUAAUACGGAGGAUCCAAGCGUUAUCCGGAUUUAUUGGGUUUAAAGGGUGCGUAGAUGGGUUGUUAAGUAAGUGGUGAAAGUUUGCGGCUCAACCGUAGAAUUGCAAUUGAUACUGGCAGGCUUGAGUAUAGUUGAGGUAAGCGGAAUGGGUGGUGUAGCGGUGAAAUGC